AUACGGAGGAUCCGAGCGUUAUCCGGAUUUAUUGGGUUUAAAGGGUGCGCAGGCGGGAGAUUAAGUCGGCGGUGAAAUUUUUCAGCUCCACUGUAAAAGUGCCUUCGAAACUGGUUUCCUUGAGUGUAGAUGAAGUAGGCGGAAUUUGUGGUGUAGCGGUGAAAUGCAUAGAUAUCACGAGGAACUCCGAUUGCGCAGGCAGCUUACUAAACUACUACUGACGCUCAGGCACGAAGGCGUGGGGAUCAAACAGGAUUAGAUACCCUGGUAGUCCACGCAGUAAACGAUGAUUACUAGCUGUUUGCGAUACAAUGUAAGCGGCUGAGCGAAAGCGUUAAGUAAUCCACCUGGGGAGUACGUUCGCAAGAAUGAAACUCAAAGGAAUUGACGGGG
rnacentral:rRNA from 1 species